GGCCGCUCCCACGGCAUAUGGAGGUUCCCAGGCUAGAGGUCGAAUCGGAGCUGUAGCCACCGGCCUAUGCCAGAGCCACAGCAACGCGGGAUCCGAGCCGCAUCUGCAACCUACACCACAGCUCACGGCAACGCCGGAUCAUUAACCCACUGAGCAAGGGCAAGGACCGAACCUGCAACCUCAUGGUUCCUAGUCGGAUUCGUUAACCACUGCGCCACGACGGGAACUCCUCUCUUAAUUAAUUUGUAAACUCAGGGCAACACCAAUAAAAAUUCUAGUUGGAUAUUUUGAUGAAUUCAGUAAUCUAUACAUAUAAACAAUUUAAACUGAUAUAAAGCUUCAAAAUAUAGGGAAGAAACAAGGGUCCACAAAAAAGUAAGCAAGCUCUAAAAAAGAGCAAAGAAUGGGAGGGAUAUGCCCACUGGAUAUUAGGACAAUUUCAAAACCUUAAUAAUAAAGGCAAUGUAGAAUGGACUUAUGGAAAAAUGGUUAGACCAAUAGAACAGAGAGGAAAGCUCUUUUUGUGUGUGUGUGUGUGUGUGUGUGUGUGUGUUUUUUUGGGCCGCUCCUGUUGCAUAUGGAGGUUCCCAGGCUAGGGAUUGAAUCGGAGCUGUAGCCACCGGCCUACACCAGAGCCACAGCAACGCAGGAUCCGAGCUGCCUCUGCAACCUACACCACAGUCACGGCAACACUGGAUCCUUAACUCACUGAGCAAGGCCAGGGAUUGAACCCGCAACCUCAUGGUUCCUAGUCGGAUUCGUUAACCACUGCGCCACAACAGGAACUCCUAUAUUUAUAUUAUAAUUCUCAGAGGCUUUUGACAUCUCAAGAACAGUGUCGGUUUCAUACAGAUGGCCAACAGGUACAUGAAAAGAUGCUCAACAUUGCUAAUUAUUAGAGAAAUGCAAAUCAAAACUACAAUGAGGUAACACUUCACGUCAAUCAGAAUGGCCAUCAUUAAAAAGUCUACAAAUAACAAAUGCUCGUGAGGGUGUGGAGAAAAGGGAACCCUUCUACACUGUUGGUGGGAAGGUGCGCAGGUGAGAGAAAACACCAUGGAGGUUCCUCAAAAAACUAACAACUGUCAUAGGAUCUAGCAGUGCCACUCCUGGGCAUAUAUCCAGACAAAACCAUAAUUCAAAAAGAUAUGUUCAUCCCUAUAUUCAUAGAAGCACUAUUUACAAUAGCCAAGACAUGGAAACAACUUAAAUGUCAACUGACAGAUGAAUGGAUAGAGAAAAUGUGGUACAAAUAUAUAAUGGAAUAUUAGCCAGAAAAAAGAAUGAAAUAAUGCCUUUGCAGCAACAUGAAUGGAUCUAGAGAUUCUCAUAUUAAGUGAAGUCAGUCAGAAAGAGAAAGACAAAUACCAUGUGACAUCACUUAUAUGUGGAAUCUAAAAUAUGACACAGAUGAACCUAUCUACAAAGCAGAAACAGACUCACAGACAUAGAGGACAGACUUGUGGUUGCCAAAGGGAAGGGGGCUGGGGAGGGAGGGAUUAGGCGUUUGGUAUUAGCAGGUGCAAACUAUUAUACACAGGAUGGCUAAAAAACAAUCUCCUACUGUAUAACACAGGGAACUAUAGAAAAAGAAUAUUUAAAGGAAUGUUUAUAUAUUCAGAUAUAUAUAUAAAUAUAUAUAUCUGAAUCACUGCUAUGCAGCAGAAAUUAACACAACAUUGUAAAUCAACUACACUUCAAUAAAAAUCUAAAAAUUUUUGAAAAAGGACAGUAACAUUUUGUUAGGGACAGUCUUCAUAGCAUAUACAGUAGAGAUCUUGGCACAUGUUCUAUAUUAUUCAAUCUGACUCCCACUGUCAAAUCAACAAACACUUCUAACUGGACCAAGUGAUUCAGCGAUCUAUAAGCCUUAGCCACAGUUUAUAUAAGCUUUCUGAGAAGCAGUUCCUAGAACAAGACUUCAAAUUGAAAUUCCCUUUACCCUGGAGACUUUAAACCCUAGUACCUAAGAGGAGCCAGGCAUAUUCCACAAAUGCAGAGAAAGGGGCCACAUGUAGGAGCAUAUUUGUCACCGCGCACGUCCACUUCAUCUAAAGAGGGCCACCAAUGCCUAGCUCUAGCCAAGUGUUGGUCUAUGUUGCCAGAUCUUUCAGUGUCUCAAAAGAAGUAGAAAAAUCUGGAUAUUUAUGUGAAAUUGGCUGGUUCUUAAAUGGUCAUUCAAUUUUUAAACAACAGUCACAUAACAGAAAACAGUAAAUUCAGCCUGUGAACAUCCAAUUAAUGGCCUCCAUUUUUUCUCAAAAAAUCAGAAUUGUUAUUUUUUCCUAUGACACUAUUUCAUUAAAAGAUGAAAAUCAAAUUAAAGUCAAAUUCACCUAGUGUUUUGUCCUAAGACUUUCAUGCCAUGUUAGCCCAUAUCCUCUAAGAAACAGAGCCUGAGGCAAGGAUUAAGAGGCUUUCACUUCUUGGGGAGGGAUACUAUCCUGGGCUUUAAGGGUAAGGGAAAAGGAAGGAAUGGAGGAAGGUAGGGAAGCGUUAGAGUGUAGCCUCUGUUUCAACACAAGCCACAAAGAGACACAACAGGUCAUCAGACAGGUGGUUCCCUCCAUCCAUGGAGAUGCAGAUGGGCUACAAGGAGAAACUGACCCUCAGAGAGCAAUGUGUGGGAGAAGGAAGGAGGGAGUUUAAUCUGAAAAUUCCAGGUCAGAAAAAAAGGAGAGGCAAGUAAAACACCAGGGGUGAAGGUGCAACCCUGAGAGCAUGUGCCUCCUUACUUUAGGCCUUCAAUACCUCACCCCAGUCCUGGCCCUGGCCAGCUCACACCUGUCUCCUGUUUCCCAUUAAGUCAAUGUUCACCCCAGCAGGUGGCCCUCCCCAACACUUGAAAAUGCUAGAUCCCAAAACUACCCUGGUGCUUCUGUUUGCUCAAGUCCAGAAAUUCCAGGCACAUGGCUGGUUGGCUAGCUGCUCGGCAGAGGGAAAGGGGAGGCCCCAGCACUCUCAGGUCAGGUGACUGGUUGACCGAAGUGGUGGCUGUAAUAUAACCCAGGAGGUGCCUUCAGAAAAAAAGGAGGCAACUGGGAGAAUCUAAGUGGUACAUAUAGAUAUAAGAUACAUGAAUAUAGUCAAUGAAUAGCUCUAUCAAGAACCAUUAAGUUAGUCACCAGAAGUGAGAGAAGGGACAUCACUACAGACCAUCAGAUAACAAAAGGAUAAUAAGGAAAUGUUAGAACAAUGUUAUGCCAAUAAAUACAACUUAGAUGAAAUAGACAAAUUCCCCGAAAAAAAAUGACUGAGUUGACAUGGCCCAAGCCUAUAAAACAAAUCUGAAACUUCAAUUACAAACUGAGGGAAACUGCUGUCAUUUAUACAUCUACAUACAUUUUCCCACUCUCUCAAAAGCAUUUGAUUCAGAAUAUUCAUAAAUUAAGCAAGCCUCAUAACUCUAAAAUCAAAUAGCAAAGAUCUUUAAGCCAGGGUCUUAGUAGAAAGGCAUAUAUAGAAGCCUACCUUCUAUGCUUAAUAUGAACACAAAAAGAGGGUUGAUAAAACCUGUUGAGGGAGCUGAGUGGGUGGAACAAAUCUGGAGAAUCUGAGAAAACUAGAACUGGACUCCUGUGGCUCCAGAAAGCUUAAUCCAGAAAAAUACUGCAACAACAGCUGGUUACCAGGUCUUUUACAUCAGAGAUGGCCAACUCGGAUGCCGAAGGGGUCAGACGCCAGCUGGGAUGACAGGCAGUGGGAUGGUAAGAUGCUGACACACUCCUUUCAGCCUCAUGGCUCCAUCUGGUUUUGCAGUUAACUACGAGUGUGGUCAGGGACUCCAGAUUUUCCGGAUUGUUAUUUGAAAUCCCCCAGUGUUUAAAUGUUGGCUCAAAUUGGGAAAAAAAAAAAUAUAUAUAUAUUGUGUGGGCCAAAGAAACACAUCAGCAGAGCAGACACAGCUGCACUCUACCGCUCUGUGGUCUUUACUUCGUGUUUUGCUUUUAGGGGGUAGAGUGUGUAGCAAGAGGACUGGGGGAGUGUGUUUGCUUAUUUGUUUGUUCGGACUUUUUCUUAUUUAAAAAAAGCUAAAAAAAAUCAAGCUCUGGAAAUUUUUUUUUUUCUGUUUCAUGACCCCUGGGGCAUAGGGGUUUCAAAGCAAAGGGAAACAGUCACCAUCACACAUCCCUUUCUCCAUCCUGCCACCCCCCCCCGCCCCCCAACUCCAGCAGAUAGGAAGCUAAAUUCUAAGAUUUGAAGAGGCGGGGUUUCUUCUCUCUCCUUCAGGCUGCCACCAACUCACAGUCCUGUCUUUAGUUUUUGAAACACAAUGGUAGUUUGUUUACUGCUGUUUCCAUAUGGCUGAGCAACACGGGGUGGGGUGGGGGAGUGGCAAACCCUGAGAUUUCAUUUUACUGUGAUAACAAGUUAUCCUGUGUCAGGAAAGGAGAUGAAAAGCAAAUGUCCCUGAGAUUUCUGAAAAGAAAGCAGACUACUCUGGGCCUCGGAUCCAGGCACUGGUAGACAGAGCUCGCAUCAUCCCCCGAGUUUAGCUGUCACGGCCACCUGUUCAAGCUCCUGUGAGCCAACCUAAGGUAGCCGGCGUUAGCUCUAGGAGACUCUUCAAAGGGACAGAGACAGCUCUGUGGAGAAUGCCUGGUACUAAUGAGCCAUCUCCCACCAGCACCUGGCCUCCUGGUGGGAAGAGAACUUUCCAGCAUCAUCAUGCGGCACAACGGCUGCAAGGCAAGCAUGAGAUGAAAGGGCUCAGGAGGGCAGGGCGGGAGUCUCAGCAUCCCCCACCCUGUCAGAGAGGAGGCUGAAUACUCAGAAACUCAAGGGGCUAAGAGCACUGGGGGGAGCCCAUCAGAAUGCAAAGGGAUGCUGAAGAAAUGCCACUCUCCCAAUGCACUUUGAUGAUGAGCUCAGCUGAGCUUCCCAUGGAUCUACCCACCCCCCACUCCCCACACAGUAGCCCUGAGCAGUUCAGGCCCCAACUGUCCUUUGUAAAUCUCCAUCAAGACCACUCAAGCCACAAUUUUCAGCAAUAAUAAUCAGUAAGCUUGCAGCAAAAGUGUUUCUUUUCACACCAGCUCAAGCAGAAAGCAGAGGGUUUCCAAGAUGUCCUGCUGCUCCUUGUCCUCCUGGGAUGACUUCAAUUCUCUCAGAUCCACAUAGGAAAGGCUGAACCUGCCUGGGACUUUAACAAAUUACACUCAGACUGCACCUGGAGGAAACAGGGAGGGCAAGGUUUCACAGGGAACCAAGGGAGUCCUUCAGGGGAAUUUAGGAUUGUCUAAAGACUCGAGGUGUUGAGGAAGAGCCCCCCCCACACACACAACCCCUGCCCAGUCACCUGGAGGCCAACUAUCCCCCUAAAUGAGGGAGUCUGUUUAUGGGAUGGUCUUCUCUGGAAAAAUAAGAGAGCCCAUUCAGAGAACGAGUCACCUUAAGGUUCCCAGAAAGAAAGAAUAGAAAGGGGAACAAGGGAGUUUCCGUCGUGGUGCAGCAGAAACGAAUCCAACUAGGAACCAUGAGUUUGCAGGUUCAAUGCCUGGCCUCGCUCAGUGGGUUAAGGACACGGCGUUGCCGUGAGCUGUGGUGUAGGUCGCAGAAGCGGGUCGGAUCUGGCACUGCUGUGGCUGUGGUGUUGGCCGGCACCUACAGCUCUGAUUUGACCUCUGUAUGCCCACUUCCAUAUGCCUGGGAACCUCCAUAUGCCGCCAGUGCGGCCCUAAAAGACAAAAGACAAAAAAAAAGGAAACAAGCAGAGAAGUAUUCCUGCUCAUGUAAAGGUCUUUCCAAAUCCUGUAAAACUGGAUUGUUAUGAUCAUUAUAUAACUACAGAUGUGAUAAAUUCAUUUGAGUAAUAAAAAAUAAAAAUAAAAAAAUAAAGGUAUUUCCAAAAGUCUUUGGACAGCCCUCGACCCAUGUAGGACAGGAGCUGAAGAUGGAGAAUCCAGCUUCCCUGCUCCUGGGGGCAGGAGUGCAAUAGUGCUUUUGGCACAAUCUCCCAGAGGCCCUCGGGGAGA
rnacentral:lncRNA from 1 species